rnacentral:rRNA from 1 species
AACGAACGCUGGCGGCGUGCCUAACACAUGCAAGUCGAACGAGAAAGGGGCUUCGGCUCCGAGUAAAGUGGCGCACGGGUGAGUAACACGUGGGUAACCUGCCUCUAAGAUUGGGAUAACUCGUCGAAAGAUGAGCUAAUACCGAAUAAGACCACAGUUUCUGCGGGAACAGGGGUCAAAGGUAGCCUCUGCUUGCAAGCUAUCACUUAGAGAUGGGCCUGCGCACCAUUAGCUAGAUGGUAGGGUAACGGCCUACCAAGGCAAAGAAGGUUAGCUGGUCUGGGAGGAUGAUCAGCCACACUGGAACUGGAACAAGGGCCAGACUCCUACGGGAGGCAGCAGUGGGGAAUAUUGCGCAAUGGGCGAAAGCCUGACGCAGCAACGCCGCGUGAGUGAUGAAGGCCUUCGGGUCGUAAAGCUCUGUCGGGAGGAACGAAUGCUCCUGAGGUUAACAGCCACGGGAGGUGACGGUACCUUCAAAGGAAGCACCGGCUAACUCUGUGCCAGCCGCCGCGGUAAUAC